CAAGAUAAUAGCAGGUGGGACUCGUUAUCCAAGCAUUUUUCUCAUCAAAUGCAAAUAUACCCGCAUACACACUUAGUUUUUCUUUCGUUGUUCGGUAAAUUUUGUUACCGAAAGCGUACUGUAAAUAAAUAUUCAACUGAUGUUUCGGUAUUUCAAACGAGCUUUACCGAAAAAACGUUCACAAUUAGGCGAAUUCAAAGAAUAUUUGUUUGUUUUCACCGAAGUCGUCAUUUUAUUUACCGAAAAACAUGUAAACCAUUUAGAUUCACCGUAGCCAGUAAAAGUUUACCGUACUUCGGUACCUAGUGCUACGGUGCUUUACCGAACAAUUGGUAACUUGUGUUUUUAACCGCCAUGUUUAUUUUUGUAAGCAAAAAUAUAGGUACCGUGAGAAAAAAGAACAGUGUCAGGCAUCGUAGAAUAGAUCAAGAUGGAAGUUGACCCAUCGAAGACAGAAUCGGCGGCACCAGUUUUGUUCGCUAAAAGGAGCGAAUAGCUGCAAACGUCCCGCAGGACUGUUGCAUAUAGUGGGUAAUCAAUGGAUUAUUCAAUUGCAGCAGAAUUUGCAACUUACUUUUGAUGGUAGAAUCGCUAACAGUGAAAUAUU